UACCGAGGGGGCAAGCGUUGUUCGGAAUUACUGGGCGUAAAGGGCGCGUAGGCGGCCUUCUAAGUCAGACGUGAAAUCCCUCGGCUCAACCGGGGAACUGCGUCUGAGACUGAAAGGCUUGAAUCCGGGAGAGGAAUGCGGAAUUCCAGGUGUAGCGGUGAAAUGCGUAGAUAUCUGGAGGAACACCGGUGGCGAAGGCGGCAUCCUGGACCGGCAUUGACGCUGAGGCGCGAAAGCCAGGGGAGCAAACGGG
rnacentral:rRNA from 1 species